UUUUCUUCUUAUUCCUUUUUACAUUAUGGGAAACAUUAAUGCAUUUACAAUUUUCCAGUCCACACAUAAACAUAAAUGCAUAUGCUCUCCCACAUCUAUCAAAAUGCUUUCAGUUUUAAAACUUUAAUUUUAUUUAACAAAACACUUUUAAAAUCACAUUUGGGAAUGCAAAUAUACCACUCAUAACAUUCCAGGUAUGGUUUUAUAUAUG